rnacentral:rRNA from 1 species
AAUUGAAGAGUUUGAUCAUGGCUCAGAUUGAACGCUGGCGGCAGGCCUAACACAUGCAAGUCGAACGGUAACAGAAAGCAGCUUGCUGCUUUGCUGACGAGUGGCGGACGGGUGAGUAAUGUCUGGGAAACUGCCUGAUGGAGGGGGAUAACUACUGGAAACGGUAGCUAAUACCGCAUAAUGUCGCAAGACCAAAGAGGGGGACCUUCGGGCCUCUUGCCAUCGGAUGUGCCCAGAUGGGAUUAGCUUGUUGGUGGGGUAACGGCUCACCAAGGCGACGAUCCCUAGCUGGUCUGAGAGGAUGACCAGCCACACUGGAACUGAGACACGGUCCAGACUCCUACGGGAGGCAGCAGUGGGGAAUAUUGCACAAUGGGCGCAAGCCUGAUGCAGCCAUGCCGCGUGUAUGAAGAAGGCCUUCGGGUUGUAA